AUUGAACGCUGGCGGAAUGCUUUACACAUGCAAGUCGAACGGCAGCACGGACUUCGGUCUGGUGGCGAGUGGCGAACGGGUGAGUAAUGUAUCGGAACGUGCCCAGUCGUGGGGAUAACGUAGUGAAAAUUACGCUAAUACCGCAUACGUUCUAUGGAUGAAAGCGGGGGAUCGCAAGACCUCGCGCGAUUGGAGCGGCCGAUAUCAGAUUAGGUAGUUGGUGGGGUAAAGGCCCACCAAGCCAACGAUCUGUAGCUGGUCUGAGAGGACGACCAGCCACACUGGAACUGAGACACGGUCCAGACUCCUACGGGAGGCAGCAGUGGGGAAUUUUGGACAAUGGGCGAAAGCCUGAUCCAGCCAUUCCGCGUGCAGGAUGAAGGCCCUCGGGUUGUAAACUGCUUUUGUACAGAACGAAAAGGUUUCUACUAAUACUAGGAGCUCAUGACGGUACUGUAAGAAUAAGCACCGGCUAACUCCGUGCCAGCCGCCGCCGUAA
rnacentral:rRNA from 1 species